rnacentral:rRNA from 1 species
GUAGGUGGCGAGCGUUGUCCGGAUUUACUCGGCGUAAAGAGCGCGCAGGCGGUCGUGCAAGUCGCGUGUGAAAGCCCCCGGCUCAACUGGGGAGGGUCACGCGAUACUGCUCGACUUGAAGGCAGGAGAGGGAAGUGGAAUUCCCGGUGUAGUGGUGAAAUGCGUAGAUAUCGGGAGGAACACCAGUGGCGAAGGCGACUUCCUGGCCUGUUCUUGACGCUGAGGCGCGAAAGCUAGGGUAGCAAACGGGAUUAGAUACCCCGGUAGUCUUAGCCGUAAACGAUGGACACUAGGUGUUGGUGGUAUCAACCCCGCCAGUGCCGUAGCUAACGCAUUAAGUGUCCCGCCUGGGGAGUACGGCCGCAAGGCUA